GACGAACGCGGCGGCGUGCCUAAUACAUGCAAGUAGAACGCUGAAGGAGGAGCUUGCUUCUCCGGAUGAGUUGCGAACGGGUGAGUAACGCGUAGGUAACCUGCCUGGUAGCGGGGGAUAACUAUUGGAAACGAUAGCUAAUACCGCAUAAGAGUAGAUGUUGCAUGACAUUUGCUUAAAAGGUGCAAUUGCAUCACUACCAGAUGGACCUGCGUUGUAUUAGCUAGUUGGUGGGGUAACGGCUCACCAAGGCGACGAUACAUAGCCGACCUGAGAGGGUGAUCGGCCACACUGGGACUGAGACACGGCCCAGACUCCUACGGGAGGCAGCAGUAGGGAAUCUUCGGCAAUGGACGGAAGUCUGACCGAGCAACGCCGCGUGAGUGAAGAAGGUUUUCGGAUCGUAAAGCUCUGUUGUAAGAGAAGAACGAGUGUGAGAGUGGAAAGUUCACACUGUGACG
rnacentral:rRNA from 1 species